rnacentral:lncRNA from 1 species
GUCGAUUUGCAUGAAAUCGAAACAUAAUUUCGACUUAUCGAAAUUGGAUUUAAUAAGGAGAAAUGAUAAUUUACCGAUUCCAAACGCAAGAAUAUGGAUUCUUCUCUUUCGAUUCUUGAAUGAUUGAACUUUGUCCUUUGAAUUGAACCUCGCAACAUAAACACGUAAAUUAGAUUAAUUAUUUUCUGAAAUCAAAGUAUAAUUAACAGAACUCAGAAAAUAAAGUGAGAAGAUGGAUUUUUGGCCGAGGCAAUUAUUGGACACUUUAUCCUUAAGAUGAAUUUGUCCCGCAUCGGUGCUAAUGGUUCUUCGACAAUCAUCUCCUAAGAUACAACGAUCACGUCGAGUCAUAGGAGCACUCCAAAUGACUUCGACCAGCGAACUCGAACGGAAUUCCCUCUCUACCAUAACCAUGACUUUGAUGCAAAUUUAAAUCACUUCUAAAAGUGUGUUAUGCAAACUAAAGUGUAAGCAUGGAAUGGAAUGAUAUGAUCUAUCUAUUGACUUUCAUGAAUUUCUUGAAUGAUAAAAUUCAAACACAUGGAAUCUAUAUAUAGUAGUUGGAAAGGUAUGUCAAAAGACAUAACCAUAUCAAGAGUCACAUCUCUUGGAAUUCAUAAUUAUUGGAAAAUAAUUAUGCCAAAGGUUAUGACCACAACCAUACCAAGAGUCACGUUUCUUGAAAUUCAUAAUUAUUGGAAAAUAAUUAUGCCAAAGGUUAUAACCGUUCAUAUGACAAUACAUAUUUUCAUCCAACCAUUUUCCAGAAUAUUCUACAAUAUUCUGUACAAUUUUUCAACAAUUUUCAGUAUUAAGCAGCUUACAUUUGACUUAAUUUCUCAUUCACCAAAUUAAGAACUCUACUUAAAUAAUCAUGUAAAAUUGGUCACAACCAAUUUCCGAUACAAAAUUCCAACAAUCCUCAAUAUGAAUGAAAAUUAAUGCAAAUGUCUAUGCAGACACUGGUAGAGAGAGAGUAGAAAAACACUGUAUCAGGUAAGGUAGCUUUUGGCUUUGAACCUUCCGUAGUGAAAUACGAUCGAAUUUACUAGCUAAUUGGUGAACGCAAUGUUCUUGAACCAUCAGCCAUUGGUGUAAACCAAGACAAUAGUACUCACACAAUGUCUCUCCUAAACCGUUCAUGGUUCUCAUAACUUGGUUUAUUUUGGGCCUGAACCUCUCUUGGUUCUGAAAGUGUUUAGAAAACUCAAGCCCUGAAUAAUUCUCAUUGAAGCGGUCCCACUCCACACUCACAUAGGUGAUUUCCUAUUAAGAGUAUUCUGCCCUACUCCACUUGACUUAAUCAAGAUAUUGGAAUCAUUAAAAGUUUAUCUUGACCUCCAACCACUCUGCAGAAAGCACUUUGGUAUCAUAGGAAUGAGUUAGGAAUUUAAUUUCCUAAGUGCUUCAUGGAGUCCUCAUAACUUAGUUGUCCUUUUGAACCAAGAUCUUGGGAUCUCCAGUCAACAAGGUAGGGUUACCAUCAUAAGGACUCUUACUCAGUAGGCUUAAUCUCAUUCCCUUCAAUAUGCAGUAUACUUGAUCUCUUGGUAAACAUAUAUAAAUGGAUCCACAAGUUUACACCAAUGAGAUCAACUACUUAUGGUAUUAUGUCUACGCCAUACAUGCUAGACUCACCAUUACAAGUGACUUAGUAUCUUAUCAAAUUUAGCUAGCCAACGAUCGAUUUAUUUGAUAGAUACACAUUGUUACCACCAAGAAAUCCUCUCAUGAAGCUACAUGCUUCUAACUAGCUUUAUCUAAAGCUUUAUCAGUUCCAAACAUUGUAGAAGGAUUUCUAUCAUAUCAUUACACCAGUCUAUCAUAUUUACUUGUGGAUGGGUAUUAAAUAUCAUCAUUAAAGCAUUGCAAUGCAUUUGAACUUUAUGAAUAUUCUCCAAUAUUCCAAUUGUUCUUGUAUAUCCAAUUAACCGUCAUGAUCGGCUUUCAUCUCAUUUUAUCCACUUUAGGACUUUCAUCCCUUUCCAUCCAUAGACUUAGUGUAUAUCAUCGCAUCACAAUAUCCUUUCAAUAAGACAGGGUAUCUUGUGAAAUGUAAUCCAUGGGUUAUGGUAUAUUUCAAAUACCUAAGGACUCAUGUCAAUGCCACCCAAUAAUCAUGGCAUGGAUUACACGUGAAUUUACUCAAUUUAUUCACAGCAAAAGCAUUAUCCGGACGAGAGCAGUUCGUUUAUUCACAGUAAAAGCAUUACUUGUGAAUAUCUCAAUUGUGACACGCUUUCACCCUUACUUUGACCAAGUGUAUACUUGUGUCAAUAGGGUUUUUCCCGAACUUUCCUCUAAUAUUUCAAACAUUUUAAAUAUUUUCUCAACAUAAUGAAACCAGGAAAGUACAAUUCAUUCCGAUGUUCUAGAGAUUUUUAUCUCUAGCAUUACAUCUGUCACACCCAUGUCUAAGCAUUUUCUUGGCAUUUAUCACCACUUCGUGACUAUUGUUCAUCAUAACAUAUCGUCUACAUAUAGACACAUAAUAUCAUAGGCAUCAUGUGUGUUUUUCACUUAUACACACUUGUCACAUUCAUUUAGUAAAUCUCAAGGUCAUGUAUUGCUGCAGUUGCAAUUAGUAACCUCAUCGAGGUGAUUCUAGUCACGGGUGAAUAGUUAAAGAUGUCAAAUCCAUCUAGCCUUAUAUUUGUCAAUGGAUCCAUCAGGUUUUAAUCCAUUUACACCCUACAACUUAUUUUCGGGAGGUACAUCUACCAAUUCCCUCAAAGAAUAUCGCAUUCCUUGACUCAAUUAUGGUACCCUCAUGUACACCCGAUUUGUGUACAAAGAAACGAUAUGCACUACUAUUAUUGGCGUAUCCAAUACAUAUGCAAUAAGUUGUUUUGGAACCAAUCUUUAUUUGUUUAGGUUUAGGAACCUCAACCUUUACCAAACACCUCCACACUUUUAAGUGUUGGUAGGAAGGUGGAUAAUAUUUCCAUAACUCAUAUGGAGUCUCUUUCAUUUUGUUAAGAGGUACAUUAAACUAAGUUACCCCCACAGUUCCUUUAUUAGGAAUAUACGUGCAAGUAGUAGUAUUGCACCCACACGACUUGAACUUUUCACAUAAGUUCUCAAGCAUUUACGAUAACCCCCACAUUUUUAGGUUAUUCUUGAACUUAGAGUUUAUCAACUCUUUUAUAAUUCAAUCCUUUAUCACUUGGAUAACAUUCGUAUCGAGUGCUUCGUGAAAGUCUGAGUACUUUCAAAAUAGUGGUCAUUGAUUCACACGAAUGAAAAUCAUUUUUCAUUCGAAAUUGUACUUCAAUCAACCAUAUUAAUUUGAUCAUCCAAAUUAAUCAAGGUCAUCACAUAGACCAACAAUGCUUUCUAAGCAUAUACCAACUAAGUUGGUUAGUCAAUUUCAACAAUGAAGAAAACUAGGCAUCUUCAAACAUGUGCAACUUUCACAUUAAUGUGACAUUUCACAAAUAAUAUUAUUCACUUCAAAUAACAAGGUACAUUUAACAUUAUUCACCAUAUUCACAUUUGAAUGAAUAAAUCAACCAUAGGUUAAUAAGUUGUGUUCUCAAAGUCACAACUUUACAAAAUGACAUACCUCUUAAAAUUAUUCUAGAAUAUUUCAUAAUAUUCUUCAGAUUUUUUUUUUUAUAAGAUAAUUUUUUAUCCUUUACAAAUGAAUGUCAUUCUUCACUCAUUAUUUUUAAGGAUACUCGGCAUCACCGAAAACUAUAGACACCAUUUGUGCUUUAUAAAAUAAUUUCAUAUUCCAGUUAUUGGAUAAAUAAUUUCCACUUUAAAAUAAUUUGGACAAACCAAAUUUUGUCAUAAUCCUAUGCACAUAUAAUUUAGCACAAGUCAUCUCAUUUAAUUUUAUCAAAUUAUUUGAGGCUCAACAGCUUAUCAUGUCAUUUCCAAUUUUCUAGUAGAAGAGAUGGUCAUGGAAGUUCACAUAAAAUUCUAACACUUUAGAAUUUUCUCAUAUAUUUUAAUAAAGAAAUGGAAAACCAUUUUCAACAAAUGCAUUCUUCCAAUAUUUAUGCAUUCAAUUCAUCAUGACCAAAGUAAAGGAAUAAUAACAUUUAUUCCAUCUAUGUCAAUGUUUUGUGCCAUAACCAUGUUUGCAAUCUUAUUAUAAUAUGAAUUGCCACUACCAUAAUUAAAUUAAACAAUGGCCGAAAUUGGCAUCGAUUGGUAUUCUCUCAACACAGGUGAGAGAUACACACCCAUUUUUAUAUAUUUGGCACUGAUUUCCACGUGCAAGGUUUUCUAUCCACAUAUUUUCAUAAAUCAUAAUUUGAACAGGCACGAAGAAAAAUUGGACAAAAUUCAUGCAUUCCUCCACCAUUUUGAAUUGCAGCAUUUCAAGUUGCCUUUUUAAAGUUAAAAGGUCACCAUUUAAAAACUGGUCACCAAAUGAAUUUUUCCUAGCAUAUCAGUCCAAAGGAAUGUAAACAUACGGCUGCUCAAUUACGCCUUUCCAGAAAUUAAAAAACUAUCUUUAACAUAUAAACCCAUCAUGAGCGGACGUAAUUUUUUUUUCCUAUGCAAUUAAUUCAACAACCUGCUCUUGUUCCGAUUAAUUCAUAACCAUUCAUUUCCAAUUUUCAGUUAUGGAAAUUCCAUGGUAGUUACAAAUUAUUCAAUAUGGAACAUCAAAUGAUCAAAACGUAUUUCAUUAUUCACGGGGGUUACAACAUGAUCAAAUUCCAAGUGUACACUGACUUUACAAAUUCGCUUACAAAGAGUCCGUAUAACUUUAACUUUAAACGUAGUAAUUAGUUACUAAAUUAAUUUAUACAACUCUUGGCUAAUGGUAGUGAUGCAAUGCGUUGUAUAUACAACCAAUGCCGAAUGGGAGUUCAAAGAAACAGCUUAUAGCAUGUGUGAAAUGAAUAAACUGAUAUUUUCAGAAUUCAAAUGGACACGAAGACCAAGAAGGACAUGCAUAUGAGAUAAGUCCACUGUCUUCAUUUUCUUUUGCAAUCACUAUUUAAUCCAUUAAACAAACUGCCAACAGCAAUACCAAUAUCUGCCGACUAUUAAAUUAUGCCAAUUCAUAUAAACUUUCAUGCAGUUUAUUCCAAAGGCUAGACAAUUAUUCAACCGUCAUAUCAUAAUUUCGAGAACGUGAAUAUAAAAUGCACAAGAAAGGUCACACAAAAUUCAUCUUAAGCUUGUUGGAAAAUUUACACCGAUUAUGUGCAAAUUAUAUUCAUAAAAACAUAUCUUCGAUUUGCGUGAAAUCAAAACAUAAUUUCGACUUAUCGAAAUUGGAUUUAAUAAGGAGAAAUGAUAACUUACCGAUUCCAAACGCACGAAUAUGGAUUCUUCUCUUUCGAUUCUUGAAUGAUUGAACUUUGUCCUUUAAAUUGAACCUCGCAACAUAAACACGUAAAUUAGAUUAAUCAUUUUCUGAAAUCAAAGUAUAAUUAACAGAACUCAGAAAAUAAAGUGAGA